CUACGUGCCAGCAGCCGCGGUAAUACGUAGGGUGCAAGCGUUAAUCGGAAUUACUGGGCGUAAAGCGUGCGCAGGCGGCUGACUAAGCUUGAUGUGAAAUCCCCGGGCUCAACCUGGGAACUGCAUUGAGGACUGGUCGGCUAGAGUGCGGCAGAGGGGGUUGGAAUUCCACGUGUAGCAGUGAAAUGCGUAGAGAUGUGGAGGAACACCGAUGGCGAAGGCAGACCCCUGGGUCGACACUGACGCUCAUGCACGAAAGCGUGGGGAGCAAACAGGAUUAGAUACCCUGGUAGUCCACGCCCUAAACGAUGUCAACUAGCUGUUGGGGGUUUGAAUCCUUGGUAGCGUAGCUAACGCGAGAAGUUGACCGCCUGGGGAGUACGGCCGCAAGGUUAAAACUCAAAGGAAUUGACGGGGACCCGCACAAGCGGUGGAUGAUGUGGAUUAAUUCGAUGCAACGCGAAAAACCUUACCUGGUCUUGACAUGUAACGAACGCCGCAGAGAUGUGGCGGUGCCCGAAAGGGAGCGUUAACACAGGUGCUGCAUGGCUGUCGUCAGCUCGUG
rnacentral:rRNA from 1 species